UACGUAGGGUGCGAGCGUUAAUCGGAAUUACUGGGCGUAAAGCGUGCGCAGGCGGUUGUGUAAGACAGGUGUGAAAUCCCCGGGCUUAACCUGGGAACUGCGCUUGUGACUGCACGGCUAGAGUACGGCAGAGGGGGGUGGAAUUCCUGGUGUAGCAGUGAAAUGCGUAGAUAUCAGGAGGAACACCGAUGGCGAAGGCAGCCCCCUGGGCCUGUACUGACGCUCAUGCACGAAAGCGUGGGGAGCAAACAGGAUUAGAUACCCUGGUAGUCCACGCCCUAAACGAUGUCAACUAGUUGUUCGUAGAGGUAACUCUGUGAGUAACGCAGCUAACGCGUGAAGUUGACCGCCUGGGGAGUACGGCCGCAAGGUUAAA
rnacentral:rRNA from 1 species